rfam:Asian citrus Psyllid, Diaphorina citri - Florida Strain, whole genome shotgun sequence.
GCCUAGUGAGCUUGGUUGGUAACGUGUCUGCCUUGUAAGCGCUAGGCCGCGGGUUCGAUUCCCGCACGGGGCA